rnacentral:rRNA from 1 species
AAAAGCUUUCAAACUGGGAUUAGAUACCCCACUAUGCUUAGCCUUAAACUCAAUAGUUAAACAACAAAACUACUCGCCAGAAUACUACAAGCAACAGCUUAAAACUCAAAGGACUUGGCGGUGCUUUAUAUUCCCCCUAGAGGAGCCUGUUUCAUAAUCGAUAAACCCCGAUCCACCCUACCCUCUCUUGCUCAGCCUAUAUACCGCCAUCUUCAGCAAACCCUGAUGAAGGCUACAAAGUGAGCGCAAGUGCCCCCGCCGCAAAAACGUUAGGUCAAGGUGUAGCCCAUGAGACGGUAAAAAAUGGGCUACAUUUUCUACCUCAGAAAACCCUACGAUAUCUCUUAUGAAAUCUAAGAGUCCAAGGAGGAUUUAGCAGUAAAUUAAGAAUAGAGUGCUUGAUUGAACUAGGCCAUGAAGCGCGUACACACCGCCCGUCACCCCCUGCAGUCA